rnacentral:rRNA from 1 species
AGUGAACGCUGGCGGUAGGCCUAACACAUGCAAGUCGAACGGCCGCACAGUAAGAGCUUGCUCUUACGGGUGGCGAGUGGCGGACGGGUGAGGAAUACAUCGGAAUCUACUUUUUCGUGGGUGAUAACGUAGGGAAACUUACGCUAAUACCGCAUACGACCUACGGGUGAAAGCAGUGGAUCUUCGGACCUUUCGCGAUUGAAUGAGCCGAUGUCGGAUUAGCUAGUUGGCGGGGUAAAGGCUCACCAAGGCGACGAUCCGUAGCUGGUCUGAGAGGAUGAUCAGCCACACUGGAACUGAGACACGGUCCAGACUCCUACGGGAGGCAGCAGUGGGGAAUAUUGGACAAUGGGCGCAAGCCUGACCCAGCAAUGCCGCGUGAGUGAAGAAGGCCUUCGGGUUGUAAAGCCCUGUUGUUGGGAAAGAAAAGCAGCAGGUUAAUACCCCGCUGUUCUGACGGUACCCAAAGAAUAAGCACCGGCUAACUUCGUG